rnacentral:rRNA from 1 species
UACGUAGGGACCAAGCGUUGUUCGGAUUUACUGGGCGUAAAGGGCGCGUAGGCGGCGCAACAAGUCACUUGUGAAAUCUCCGGGCUUAACCCGGAGCGGCCAAGUGAUACUGUCGUGCUAGAGUGCGGAAGGGGCUACUGGAAUUCUCGGUGUAGCGGUGAAAUGCGUAGAUAUCGAGAGGAACACCUGCGGCGAAGGCGGGUAGCUGGGCCGACACUGACGCUGAUGCGCGAAAGCCAGGGGAGCGAACGGG